rnacentral:rRNA from 1 species
UGGGGGAUAUUGCACAAUGGGCGAAAGCCUGAUGCAGCGACGCCGCGUGGGGGAUGAAGGCUUUCGGGUUGUAAACCUCUUUCGCUAUCGAACAAGGCCCGCUUAGGGUGGGUUGAGGGUAGGUGGAGAAGAAGCGCCGGCUAACUACGUGCCAGCAGCCGCGGUAAUACGUAGGGCGCGAGCGUUGUCCGGAAUUAUUGGGCGUAAAGGGCUUGUAGGCGGCUUGUUGCGCCUGCUGUGAAAACGCGGGGCUUAACUUCGCGCGUGGAGUGGGUACGGGCAGGCUUGAGUGUGGUAGGGGUGACUGGAAUUCCAGGUGUAGCGGUGGAAUGCGCAGAUAUCUGGAGGAACACCGAUGGCGAAGGCAGGUCAAUGGGCCAUUACUGACGCUGAGGAGCGAAAGCAUGGGUAGCGAACAGG